AACGAACGCUGGCGGCAUGCCUAACACAUGCAAGUCGAACGAGAUCUUCGGAUCUAGUGGCGCACGGGUGCGUAACGCGUGGGAAUCUACCCUUAGGUUCGGAAUAACUUCGGGAAACUGAAGCUAAUACCGGAUGAUGACGUAAGUCCAAAGAUUUAUCGCCUAAGGAUGAGCCCGCGUAGGAUUAGCUUGUUGGUGAGGUAAAGGCUCACCAAGGCGACGAUCCUUAGCUGGUCUGAGAGGAUGAUCAGCCACACUGGGACUGAGACACGGCCCAGACUCCUACGGGAGGCAGCAGUGGGGAAUAUUGGACAUUGGGCGAAAGCCUGAUCCAGCAAUGCCGCGUGAGUGAUGAAGGCCUUAGGGUUGUAAAGCUCUUUUACCCGGGAUGAUAAUGACAGUACCGGGAGAAUAAGCUCCGGCUAACUCCGUGCCAGCAGCCGCAGUAA
rnacentral:rRNA from 1 species